rnacentral:rRNA from 1 species
AUGGCUAAAUAUAGAGCAGGUAGGCAUUGGUACAAGUCCCGAUCAGGUUCCCUAUUGCACGCACAUGAACAAUCUCCAGCACCUACUCCGGCAGCGCCGCCUCGCCGCCCGCCGUGGACACGCCGCACACUCAUUGCCGCAUCCACCGGGUGCGCCACCACAACCACCCGCCCUCAGCUGAUGCGCACAGCCGGACCAACUGGGUCAUCAUGA